AGGGUUCAUAGCAAACUUUAUUUAUUUAUUUAUUUAGCAAACUAAGCAAAGAUAUAUAUAUAUAAGCACAAAAUAUUUAUUUGGGUUUUUAUGAUUAUGCAUCUUUUUAUUAUUUGAGUAAAGUAUAAACGUGAGUAGAACACUUAGCUGGAUAAAUGGGGGUGCUCUCCCCCAAGUUGGAUUUUGACAUAAUUUCUUCUGAUGCAGCUAGCAAGUGGUGGAGGUGUAUUUGAAUGUCGGCAGCACCCUGACAGCGAUUAGGAUGUCCUCCGUCUGGUAGUCUUCUUUGAUCCUUGAAUUCUGUGGAGCUCAAAUAGACAACAAAGCUUUGUGGAACUGGUUAAGUGUUAGCAUAAAAUCUCUUAGCCGUUAUCAUGUUGAACUUCCUCUAAUAAAUAUUACUCUCUUUAGUAGGAUCAUAAAUUUAUUUUUAUAUUUUCAUUUUUAUAUGACAGGAAUAUAUUUAUUUUAUUUUUACGCCACCACAGUGAAUGUACUUAUGGGUUUUAUGCCAUGAGCAUACUCACAUGAGGCUUACUUUUUUUUAACAGUUUUAUUUUCUUUUCAAGAUAGCAUGAUUAACUAACAAGCCAUUUAAUGAAAGUAAAUAAUUUAAGGGAAAAGGGAAUGCAGAAAGGAUAAAUAUGGAUAACUACCAAUUUUACCUUUCAGCGAGGGUUCAAUGUUUUAAGUCUUCUGAACAAGACUUCUCACCGUGUUCAUUCUUUAGGUGCGUCAUUUGAUUCAGACGUGGACCUUGACGUCUGCACCUCUUGAUACGGUGUCACCCAUGUUCUUUGUUUGCCCAGUAGUUUGAAGUGCGGCGUUGGCAGCAUCCUGCUUAGUUUGUUUGUGCUCGUAGAUCCAGGUCCUUCACUUGGUGGAGUCUAGGAGUUGUAAAACUCCUCCAUGUUUUGCUCGAAGUGUACCUGCUCAUAGAGACAAGGCAGAGAUCAAGUGCAUGGGCCCUGUUGGUGGAAAACACCAACAGAACCAAAAGUGUAUUUGUUCUUCUCUAACCUUAAGCAUAGUGAGCCAGACGAAGUUGAUGGAUAAUAAAAUCAUGAGUGUAGCAUUUAAAACAUUUGUCAGAUCAGAUCGCUCAACCUAAUGGAAAGAUAAUCUAUCUAUACUUAUGUUUAUAUAUAUAUAUAUGUAUAUAUAUAUCUUCCAAAGAUUGCGUGUGCAACAUUUUAGCUCAUAUGAUUAGGAGUGUGGG
rnacentral:lncRNA from 1 species